rnacentral:ncRNA from 1 species
CGCCGCUCUCCACCUACGAGCGGCGGACGAACCGAAGAAAGGAGUUCAAUUUCCCGCAGGAUCCGCGGUGCGGCAGUGUGGAGACCUGCCGUAACGUCUCCGUACAUUUUCGGCGGAGACAAGGUCCGGGCAAGCGGAGGCUCCCGGAUCAGGAUCGGAGCAGCAUGGCA